GCUUACCUAUGGGAAAAAUCUACAUUGAGUCGAUGCCGAUGAAUGAGUUCGCAUAAGGGGAGCAGACGGUUGCGGGGGUGCAAGAAGAGAGAGAGAGAGACAAGGAUGGAAAAAGAGGAACAGGCGGAAUCUUUUGUGAACAAAUUCUUGGCAGCAUCCAUCUAGCCCGACAUCGUGCAUAUCGUCCUCGGGGUUCGUACCCUGCAAGAAGAAGGGCUCCGCGAAGGACAGCUUGGGCCGCCGACGGCUACCUGAGCUUUUAGUUUAAGAAUAAGAGGAAGGUGGAGUUGGUCUUCGAAGUUGUACACCGCUUUGGUAUUCGUUUCACGUCGGCAACGACUUCGUGGUGUACAUCGGUCCAAGAACGGUUGGUUCAUUUUCCGAAUGGCAUCGAAAAUAAGGCGUGAAAGUGUGAAGAAGAAAAAGAAGAAAAAGAAGAAGAAGAAGAAGAAGAAAAAGCAACUGACUGAGAGAGAACGAUAACGGAGAAGGAAGGAAUAUUUUUCCGGCAACGGGGGAAACAAAUUACUUGGGAAUUACUCGCCUGGGAUUGACGUUUGAUUGCGGCACUGCAUCUCUGCCGAAGAUCUCCUAAUGACCUCGCACCACCACCAGCAGCACCACCACCACCACCACCCCGUGGCAAUCGUCGAUAAAAAUC
rnacentral:lncRNA from 1 species